CAUUAUCAACCCUCAAGCCCGGCUUGCUGUUGGAUCUCACCGUUGAAGACACGGUGGACCCCAAAGAUAAUGGCAGAGUCCUUGGACCCUGGAUGCAGCGAGCUUUUUGGCACGCGUCUGGACGGUCGUUGGGCUCGGUCUUAACCAGUUUAUUUUAUCAGGUUGACCUCGGAUCAGGUAGGGAUACCCGCUGAACUUAA
rnacentral:misc_RNA from 1 species